rnacentral:lncRNA from 1 species
GAACCGGUAGGGGUCCCUUCCCAUAUUUUUGUUACUGUUAGAGGGUGGGGACAAAUUAGAUGCAAAUUUAGGAGUUUUUUAAAAAAAUUAUAAUGUCAUAAGUGAGUAAUUUAUAGGAAGAUUAUGGGGUUACUUUAGUUUAUUUUUUUAUAUAAUGGCAGUGGUGGGUAAUUUAGAUGUAGAUUUAGGUGUUACUUUAGACAAUUUUCACAAUGACAGAUUUGGGUAAUUUUUUAGAAAACGUAAUAAAUUCAAUGACUAUGAUGAUUUGAGUCUACUUAAUUGAUGGCGAGAUGUUUUGAUUUUUUGUGAGAAUUUUAGGGUUCCUCUAAAAAAGUGUCCACCUAGGAUCUUAGGUGGCUACAUGUGAAGACCUCAAAAGGAACCUCCAAUUAGUAAUAGUAAUAUAAGAUAUUAUGAAGAACAUGCCUCGUUCUGAGUACUCUAUGCUGGUGACAUCUAACAUAUAAUGUUUGAGUACCCGUUAGCUCUUAUCGUUCUUGACUGGAAUGGUAAUAAAGACUUUGAGUGCCAUAUGCAUGAGUUGACUAGAACUAUGGCUGACUUCUAUGACGUAUCCUACUUGUUGGAUUAAGGAUUUUGGCUUGUAUCCAAAUUUCCUAUCUCCCCUUUAGACUCUUUGUUAGAGUUUUUGUUCAAAUACUUUACUGUUACCUGGUAUCCAUCCC